rnacentral:rRNA from 1 species
CUUUCUUUGCUGGCGACCGGCGCACGGGUGAGUAACACGUAUCCAACCUGCCCUUUACUCGGGGAUAGCCUUUCGAAAGAAAGAUUAAUACCCGAUAGUAUAAUGAUUCCGCAUGGUUUCAUUAUUAAAGGAUUCCGGUAAGGGAUGGGGAUGCGUUCCAUUAGGUUGUUGGUGAGGUAACGGCACACCAAGCCUUCGAUGGAUAGGGGUUCUGAGAGGAAGGUCCCCCACAUUGGAACUGAGACACGGUCCAA